UACGUGGGUGGCGAGCGUUGUCCGGAUUUACUGGGCGUAAAGAGCGCGCAGGCGGUCGUAUAAGUCGCGUGUGAAAGCCCCCGGCUCAACUGGGGAGGGUCACGCGAUACUGUUCGACUCGAAGGCAGGAGAGGGAAGUGGAAUUCCCGGUGUAGUGGUGAAAUGCGUAGAUAUCGGGAGGAACACCAGUGGCGAAGGCGGCUUUCUGGCCUGUUCUUGACGCUGAGGCGCGAAAGCUAGGGGAGCAAACGGG
rnacentral:rRNA from 1 species